rnacentral:rRNA from 1 species
UGGGGAAUCUUGCGCAAUGGGGGCAACCCUGACGCAGCGACGCCGCGUGCGGGACGAAGGCCUUCGGGUCGUAAACCGCUUUCAGCAGGGACGAGGCCGAGAGGUGACGGUACCUGCAGAAGAAGCCCCGGCUAACUACGUGCCAGCAGCCGCGGUAAUACGUAGGGGGCGAGCGUUAUCCGGAUUCAUUGGGCGUAAAGCGCUCGUAGGCUGCCCGCUAGGUCCGGGGUCAAAUCCGGGGGCUCAACCCCCGCACGCCCCGGAUACCGGCGGGCUUGAGUCGGGUAGGGGAAGGCGGAAUUCCAGGUGUAGCGGUGGAAUGCGCAGAUAUCUGGAAGAACACCGGUGGCGAAGGCGGCCUUCUGGGCCUCGACUGACGCUGAGGAGCGAAAGCUGGGGGAGCGAACAGGA